UGGGGAAUAUUGGACAAUGGGCGAAAGCCUGAUCCAGCCAUGCCGCGUGUGUGAAGAAGGUCUUCGGAUUGUAAAGCACUUUAAGUUGGGAGGAAGGGCAGUAAGCGAAUACCUUGCUGUUUUGACGUUACCGACAGAAUAAGCACCGGCUAACUCUGUGCCAGCAGCCGCGGUAAUACAGAGGGUGCGAGCGUUAAUCGGAUUUACUGGGCGUAAAGCGUGCGUAGGCGGCUAAUUGAGUCGGAUGUGAAAUCCCCGAGCUUAACUUGGGAAUUGCAAUCGAUACUGGUUAGCUAGAGUGUGGGAGAGGAUGGUAGAAUUCCAGGUGUAGCGGUGAAAUGCGUAGAGAUCUGGAGGAAUACCGAUGGCGAAGGCAGCCAUCUGGCCUAACACUGACGCUGAGGUACGAAAGCAUGGGGAGCAAACAGG
rnacentral:rRNA from 1 species